UCCCAAUCCAAACCAUUCUAUGAUUCUAUGAAGGUGGAGAUGUUUCCAAAACAUGUGACCCUACCCAAAAUAAAUGGUGUAACAGAAGUGGGAAGGGGGAGCUGUGCAACAUGGGUCAGCAAGAUGAGAUGGUUAGAUCAUCCUCAGUUUGCAGCUUUCUUGAACGUCCUCCAGAGCUGCAGGAGUGGUGUCCAGGAGGAGAGCAAAUGGUUGAGAUCCCAGAAAAAGAUUUACCUAAGGUAAUUUUUGGUUAUUUUGAAGCUGGUCUAAUCGAAGCUGUUUGGUCAUUCUGCAGUCAAGACAGGGUAUCUCCACCGGCUUAAGAGAGGUUGGACAAAUCAUAUUGUGAGGAAACGUGUCUCCAGUGGUUGUAGAGUGGUGAAGCCUGAGCAGAGUCCUGUGUGUCUUUCUUGGCUGGAGGCAUAGUUUAUAACUUGCUAAUGUUAGGCUAGAUGAAUCCUACCUCUAUUUUUUAUUCUUGGCUCUGCCAACAACUUGGUAGAGGAUCAUAUGACUGCCCCGUGUAACAUCUGCUACACAACAGUGCAGGAGAGGAAAGUGCCUUGUUUCAUCAAGGAGCAAAACAGGAGUGGUGUCUACUACAUAUACUUAAAGGCAAGCAUGUACUGAUUUCCAGUGUGGGAAUAUCAGGACAGAGUACUUUGAGAUUCAUCAGUGUGGGAUGUUGGAUAACUUCAAUGUAUUAGUCUUACGGCAUUAUGUGUAUACUAACUCACCCUGCCUGACCUAAAGCACUCCUUGCUAAGUAGGACAUCACCUUGAGGAAGAUCUUACAGUUCCAGGGCUUUGUCAGCUCCACAGUGUUAUUUUCUCUAUUUCUUGAUUUACUUUCAGCACCUUGUAAUAUCAGGUCUAGUCUUACAUUAAAAAUGUGCUCUGUCAACAUUUUUCUACCCCAGGUGUGUCUGAAAGAGGUUUUUUUGUCCUUUUGAUCAUCAUUUGUAUGUUUUUUCUUCUUUCCUCGUUCUUCAACAUUACCAACUGCUCACCCCGGCGCUGACUUUAUUCUGGGAGAGCAACUGCGUGUCGACACAUUCUGUCCUGAAGGUGGGGAAAUUCGCGGUGCACGGUUCCAAGUGCACAGCCCAUUACUGUGUAUUAUAGAGAACUUCUCUGCGCUCUGAAAACUUGUUCUACCAGUUCAAAAAUGUCAGGUGGGGAAACUGAGUCAUGGAGAGAAGGGUUCACCUCUUGAGGAGGAUGGAAAAGGUGACACUGUGAUCCUGGCUGGUUGAACUCUGGCUGGGACACCCUUCCUCUGGAUUGCUACCUAUUCCUGAAAACCUGAGGCAUGAAGGCAUGAUUGUCACACUCUGCUCACCUCUUCUACCUGGCUUGUUCAUCCAGGCUCCAGGAAGGUCUUUCUGAAUCCCUUGUUCCCUCCAGAACCUCUUACCUAUCCACACAAACUCAUUUGGAUCUGAAAUUAAAACUUCCUAUGCAAGCCAGACCAGCCAGGCUUUCCCAAUCUGUGCUCUGCUGAAUGGUCCAGGUCCCAAAGCACAUCUGUAUUUCUUACAGGUAUAUUACUUAAAGCAGACCAGGGUCUCCUCUUGCUUCCAAAGAUCUUCCUAGAGAUCGAUACCAAGUCACCCAUCUUCACUAUUGGAUUGCAACUGGUCCUCCAGCGUAAUCACUGAGGAUCCAAAGACUCUUGGAGCUGCAAGGAAAGGAGGAGAAGAGACUUUAGACCCACGACUUGCAUGAGUUCAGGAGCACUUUCUCACACAUGCUGUUCAGAGAGCUGCCUCAUUAAACCAGGGGCUCAUUCCCUGCGGGAUAAUUGGAAGAAAACCAAGGAACUGGCCUAUCACAUUAAUCAGGAAUUGCUUCUAGAUGUGAGCUGUUAUUGCCCUCUGCUGACAGUUUGCUAUGUAGUGCCAUCACUUUAAAAAUGAAGCAUGUUGUGUUGUAACACAAACAAGGACUUCUGAGGAUCUGUACUAAACUAAAGGAACCUCGCUCAGACAGAGAUUUUCGGGGUUUAUUGCUUGAUUUUUUAAUGUCCUUUUUCAGUGUUGUAACUUACAUGUUGUAACCACAUCAGAAAUGGGUCCAGUCUAAGCUGUUGUACAAGGCACUGAGUGCACACACAGCAAGAGUCAAUUUUCCCCUGCAGAGCUUGUGGUCUAAAGAGACAAGACAGAUAAAGGGUAGUGGAAAAAGAAGAAUGAUCAGCUCCAUUUCACAUGUAGGCCACCGAGCUACCGAAAGAUCUAACUGAACCCACAAAAAGGCAGCUCUAUUGCCCUGCCUGGAAGCUGUAGUCAGAUGAAUUCAAAGCAGAAAUAAGCUGCAAGUUCUGACUACAAGAGGAACGGAUCACACUGUUGGCAUCUUCUUUUCCCUCUUUUUCUUCACAAGAAGCAUCACUCUGUGUCCACACCGAGAAUGAUUUGGGGCCAGGAAGUGGAGAAGAGCAGAGCAGAUUUGAAGACAACACAAACAUUUGUCAUACCCAUGAAUUAGACUGAAAGACCAUGAGCCUAGAAAAGCAGUGUUCCCAAAGAUUUGAACUCGGUUGUCCAGAGCUCUGUGCUUCCUCAGCUUCCAUGGAUUUGAACUGUGAAGGAGCUUGGUCUUUUACAGGGAAAGCCAAGCAUAAGUUUCAGUGGAUCUUGAGAAGCAGACAACAGAAGAGUAACAGUAUGUGCAUGUGUGCAGACAAACAAGUAUAGAAUGCUCUUGUGGCUGCAAAAACUCAAAGUCAACACCUCUUCUGAAAAACCCCCAACCUGGUACUUCUGGUUUUGUAUUUGAAAAGCUUCUGGAGAUGUGAUAUUCUGAACUGUCCCCAACUUGUAUGUGGAAGCUGCACGGUUCAGUUUUCCACUGGCAACAUGCUGAUAUUCUGCCCUGCAACUGCAAAAUUAAUAUGAAACUAUUGGCUGCUGAACUAUCAGCCCUUGGCUCCCUCCUGACGAAGGGACUAACCUGUCUUUCAGUCAUAUUGGCACUUACCUCUGUGACCAGCAUACCAAGAUGGAACCUGGGCAGAGCUGCCAGGGUUAGAGCUAAGUGCUGGAAAAGAACACUUGAUCACAAGUGAUUUGAAGGUGGUUAUCCCCUAGAUUUCUAGGAAAGACAUUGCCCAAAUCCUCAGCUGCAAGGAACACUGGCUGAAUUGAGGAACACGCCAUGACUGUACUCAUUGUAGGAGACAUGCACCCUGGCAUUCUAGCCCUUUUAUUCCCUGGAUGUCUCCAGGGAAAACAUAAUUUCAGCAGGAUCAGGUAUUAAAAUAGCAGAGCAGCAAAAAGCAAGGAAUCUGGAGCAACCAUCUGUGCUUUAGGUAGCAGAUGAGCAAUGCUGUCCUUCCUUGAACCAGUAUCAUUGCCUACUCCUAAUACCAGGCAAAGGGGUGGCACUUAAGAAGAACUGCUUACCUCUGCACACACUUCAAAUACUUGGGAAUGAUGCUUCACAUCAUCUUCACUUGCCAGUUCCUUUAAAUCAUGGCCGGAAGAAAACACAGGUCCUUCAGCUGCAAAGAAUUGCAGGAAAAGUCAAUCUGGAUUAAUCAAAAAAUCAGGGGUAGAGGAGUAUCAAUGCCCCAGGGGAAGGUAUGUCAAUGAGUUGUCAAUGGCCAAAAAGGCCAAAAAGAGUUCAAAGUAUUGCCUUCUGGGUUUUGUAAUGACUUUAAAUUGCAACAUUUAACCACAGAAACACCCAUAAGCAUUUUUUAAAGCCUAGUUUUACUUCCCUUCCAAGUUAAUUCUGUCAAAUAUAAGGAUUUUACACCUCUGAGUCCAGCUUCUUGUAAGGAUACCGUUCUAAACAGCUCCUUGGGACAAUGUAAAUGCAUCAGCUGGAGCAAGGAUGGAGUGCUCUGCUCUCACACAAAUACAGUUAGUGCCCAUUUAUUGUACCCAGCAUUAAUGAUUAAUUUCUGCUAAAUAAGCAUCAAGAUUUUUGUGUCACAGCGUUCAAGACCACAAUGAACACAAGAAAAAAGGUUGUUCUGCUGGAGGAGAGCCAGAAGGGUUGUGUUGGCGCAUUGUUUCCUCUACUCUAAAACUGUCAUCUAGAGAAUCCCAAAAAGCACAUCAGGGUUUGGGCAGCAAAAGAGGAGGUUCCUGCAGACCUGAGCUUUGGAUUUGCUUGUCUCCAAUGGCAGCUAAGAUCAUAACACCCUUUAUGGGUACACUACCUUUACAACAGUUUUCCUUUGGCAUGAGGGUAUCUGCCAUAAGAAUAAACCAAUUUGGUGCUUCUGAA